CAUGCUCCGGGGCCAGCCUUUAUGGUCUGCUUAAGCCUUUGACAUUUCUGUGCCUUUAAGGCGUGUUUUAAAGCCUUUAAUGGCCAAACCGCAGCAGGGAGCUAAUGAGAGCGUUGCCAGCGCAGGAGAUGGCAGGCCUGCAUCUGUGAAAGAGCCCCCCACUGUUUUGUGGCCUAAGCCUGGGGAAUGUUGAGAUUUAAAGCGUUUAUUCCUAAACUAUUAGUUAGUCUCUCGAUAUACUAACUAUUAAACCUAUUAAUGUAGAUAUUAACAUCAGUUGAAGUGGCUGUGGUGCGCAGUCAAAUCUCCCAGGAGUGGUGCGGAGGAGAGCUGGGCCACAGGCUGCUCGGUGCCCUGGGGGCAAGAGAGUGAGCUCUACACCUCUGGAAAAGGGGAAACAGGAACAGCGAUACAAAAAAUAACCAGGAGCUGCGGAACAGCUACGUUACCAGAGUUCCACAGCAAUAGCUGGGUUAACUGAGCUUGCUGAUCACCCUGCUUCUCAGGGAAAAAACACACAGAAAAUGGAAAUAUCCUCUUUCCGUUUGUAGAGAAAUCAAAAGGCUAAGAAAAUUCUCAGCUCUCCUCCUCUGAGUGACCACUUUGUCUAGCUGGCAGAGAUCCUCAGUGUCCUUACCACCGAAGUCCCCGCGGAAAAAGCCACACCAGCCUGGGCUAGCCCUGACAAGCAAUGUGUUACAAUCCCAGAUGGAAAACAAGGUGUUGCAGAUGAUCUUCCUGUCUCAGCCUUUCACCCAUCACCAGGCCUUGGCUGCAGUCAUCAGAGAUGAACAGCACAGGGUUUGCUGGUUGUCCCGAGCAAUGGGUCCUUGCACAGCCUGUAGCUACUGCAGGCUGUGUGCCAUAGCUUCUGAGCAAACACCAAAACCAGAGUGGAUCCUCUUAGUCUCAGAGAGAUGGGAAACUCUUUACAUAGAGCAGAAAUUGCCACCGUCCUCCGGGAGGGAGUUUUGGGACAAAGACUCUGCAUACCCUCCCCACACUGCUGCCAUAAUGAUAGCAAUCAGCUUUUCCAGAUUGGGGCCCUCUCUGAUUUUAGCUGAAUUUGACUCAGCACAAGAGUACAAUUACUGCCUGACAACUCAUGGAUUAGAAGGACCCAAACCACAACUUCAGACCCAUUAAAAGGAAAUCACUGAUUAAAGACAAAAAGGGCAAUGGCCUGCAGACACCAAUGUGCUCAGCAGGCAGAUGGAGGAGACAGCCUGAACAUUUCACUGCCACCGUUUUGUUGUUUCUGCCCAGACACAACAGGCUGAGCCUUGUACAUGGCUUUUGUGGCAGGGGAUUUAGAGAAGCACAGGCUGUGAGGCACAAAAAAAAAAAAAAGGUUUUUCCUCUUUCUGCCCUUAUUUCCCUCCUGAGAACAGCUAGACCUUCAGCCAGAGCUUGCCCACAAGACACAGUAGAACCAAAAACAUUUUCUUGUGGGUUUUUUUUCCUUUUGAAUUAGCUUUAUAACACAUGCCCUGGUAGCAGUGUAAAAGACACACAAAGCAUUCACAUAAUGCCCAUGCAAUUAUUUUUGUUAAUGAGUGAAGUCUCAGAUGAAGAGCACUAAUAAUACAUGAGCAAUCAAAGAGCAAAUAGCAGCAGUGAACACACCAGAGCAGUUGUGUGGAUCCAUUUCCAACUGUCAGCGCCGAUGCACAGCAGCUGUAAUUAACGUGUUGAAUUUAAUGUUUAAAUUUUAAUAAAUUUUAAUGUGAUAAAAA